rnacentral:tRNA from 1 species
AGUGAAAUAAUUUAAUAAAAAUAUUAUCUUGCAAAGAUAAAUAUGGUGUUUAAAGGCCUUUUACUU